rnacentral:tRNA from 1 species
GCCUUCGUGGUGUAGUAGUCAGCACGCUAGACGUAUAACCGAGAGGUACGUGGUUCGAUUCCCGGCGAACGCG